AAUUUAGAUUAAUUUUUAAAUUUUAUUUUUUAUUUUUUUAAUGUUCAUUGUUUUGUUAAUUAGCUAGAAGGUUUAAGAAAUGAAUGUGGAUGCUAUUAUUUGAAAGCUAAUAUCCAUGCAGAUUAUCUUUAGAGUGAGUGACCUAAUUCUGGGAAGUUGUAUUAACAAUUGUACUAGAAAGCAACACCAAACUGCCUUUUUCUUUCUUUUUUUUUCGCUUGAUUUGGAUGUUGUUUAUGGUAGUCUGUUUGUUUGUUUCAUUUUGUUCUCUUCUUGGCUUUAUAUUCUCAAUUCUGGAUCAAAAUAAUUCAAACAUCACAAUCUACUAACUUUAUUCAUCUACAAUGGUAGCGUAGACAGUAGACUGUCAUUGGGUCUAACAUGAGUAGUUUGAUUGAGGUAUUGCCAAGAGGAGUUGAGUAGAGUUGUGCAUUGUAUGAAACUUCGCAUACCCUAAGCGUCUAAAAUCUUAUUAACAUAUGCCCCUACACUCCUAAACAAAAUCCCACGAAUGCACAACUUCCUUAUUAUGUUUUGAAAAUCUAAAUGAAAAAUGGACAAAAUAAGACACCUCAAGCUAGCCUGAUUGUAAUUGCAUGCUCUUGGUGCAUACUGCCCAUAUUUUCGUUACAAAUAAAAGAGCAUCACAUGCCUUGGGUGUCACAUUAGAAACUUUACAGAUGUUAUUCCAACUCAUCGCAAGGGAUAGCCACAUUGGAAAUUAUUAACACAUUAUACUAACAUAUUGUAGGUGUCGGAUGCAUCUAGUGGGCAGCAAGCUUCAAAAGAAAAUGAAUAGGUGGUUGCAGGUAUGACCGGUAAAAAACAAGGGUAGUAUGGAUAUUAGAAGUAAGCAAUGAUUUGUCUUAUCCUGCCUCCAUUCCCCUUCCCCUCUUACUCUGGUUAGAGAUUGGAAUAAGAUUUUUUUAUCAUGUGAGAACAAAGAAUUAUUGUUGCUACUGGUUAUUCACCUUUAUUUUUGCUUGUGGAUUUUAAUGCUGUUAAAACAUGUGGUUUCUCAUGCUAUCAAUCGGAAUUGGAUGAGCUCCAUAAGAAGCUUAGUUCUGCA